AUGGAGGAGGAUAAAUUUAUUCCCAGAGUUCACCAGCUGCUACUGAGCAAGUUAUCACUACUCUGUUUCAGGUUUUCUCCAGGUAUUUGCUGCUGGGAGCUGUGCCUAGUAAGGCAUUACAUCCUCAGGGUGCACCAAAGGGCCGGGACAGAGACACCAUGUGCUGGUUGCAGAGCAUCAUCAAGCUGUCAGCCCUCCGACCACCACAUCAGGCAGCACCAAAAGUUUAAGGGAAAGCAGCCCUACGAUGGCAACAGCACCUGAGCUGAAGGAAAGGAUUGCACAAGCAGCUUGUGAGCCUCACUAACGCAAGCUGCUGCUUGUGACACCAGACAAACAAUGCUGCGCUCGGAUUGCAAAUUAGCGUGUGCACGAAACUGAGACGGGACAGCAAACAUCUGAGCUUCGAUUUGAGCAGCCAAGCUGUAACCAACAUGCCACGUGGGGUUGCGUGAGUGACGAGCAAUGCGCCUAAACCAGCUAACCUUGCCCGCAUCUUCUAGCUUCAACUUGAACGCGCUUCCCUGGUUCUUGUCUGACUUUGCAGCUCACUCUAUCUGGUGCCAGGUUUUGCUAGCCAGGAAAAGUAGGUUGGAUUGCAGCAUAAGUAAGCUAGAAGAGGGAUUAUUUGAUUUUAUUUCUGUUUCUCCCACAUAACCUAGUUUAGUAAUUGCAUGGCACUACUGAUAAGCACCUCCUAAACAUGUGUGGUUUUGAGGAUGUAUGAAAUAAAAGAGCAAUCUUGAAACAGAAUUUCUUUUUCUUCCUUCCCAGCAUAUAGUGGAAAGGCAGCUAAUUGUUAUAUUUUGGCCUUCUGCAUGACUAUAUGAAGACGAUGCAUAAAAUACAUGUUGACAGAAAUUUGAAGUGCCCUGCUCUUCUUUUUGAUCAUCUAAGUUUUAACUCAAUGCAAUUCUUCCUUUCCACCUAAUUUGAGGACUGAAGAAGUGAAAACAACUGUUUCCAGAGAUAAAACCAAAGAAUUAAAAUUAUAUUGUCCUUUAGUUCCUGGCUCCUAUGCUGGUAAAUUAAUUCAUAAAUGGGAGUGCUUAUGAUGAAAAUGCAUUCUAUAAUUGCCCUGCUUAAUAGAUUAAAGGCCCAAGAGAAAGACAAAUAAAAAUAAAAAUUAGUGUUUUUAUUUAGAGUAUGAAGUUUUGAGUAGCAAAUGAAGAUAAAAUGAUCUAUAUUUCCUGUUUAUGUUACCAAGAUUCUCAUUAAGGAGCUUCCUCUUUGACCUAUGUUGUUACGAGAAAGAAACUACGGCAAGUAGGCUUAUACUAAUGAGAGGCAAGAAUAUCCCUGCUUUUUCACAAUUAGAAUAAAUGUAUUGGGGAGCCAGAUGGGACCUUUAAAAAUUUCCACAAUUAUAUGCCUUCCACAGAUAAUGGCAAAGACCCCACAGUGGCUAUUUUAAAGCAACACACAUGAACACAUUAGCAGACUUCUUGUUAGAUUCAUUUUUCUCCCCCUCAUUUGUAUUUUGAUGUUCCGUGAGUUCUGGGGAAGGGGCAAGCCUUGGAAAGAGGUGAUUUACUGGAAUGUUUUCACUUAAAAUGAUAAAUUUCAUACAGCCUAACUAGAAGCAGGUUUUUGGUUCAUGAAAGGAAAGCUGAAUAAAUUAAAAAAAAAUGAAUCCUAUGGUGGCUUUCAUAAGAAGCAACUAAUUCUGUCAGUUUUAUCUAAUUAAAACACCUGGUGUCCUUGCUUCUUCCACAACCUACAUUACUGCUUCUCUGCUUAUAAUCCCCCUUCUCUCCUCAUGUGCCUUUCACAUCUAUAUCCUAUGCUUCCGCCAUGCCAGCUACUCCUAACUAUGUUGUUCUUGUUUUCCAGGUCUUCCUCUAAAUUGCCUCUGUUGCAUGUGUGGCUGUGAUUUUGUAUGGCUGUAUCUUACUGAUCAAAGAACAUUCCAUUUCUUGAAUUGCUUUACUUGUGAUGUUUGCAGAAAGUCUGGGAAAGAGCAUCAAAAAGAGACAGAGCACUUGUGCUCCAAUAUACCAUUUAAAUUCUGCGACUGCAGAGAGACUUGUUCAUGUACGUUAGAUAUCAGCAAUCUCUGGAAUUCAGACCUCUUCAGCUUAUCUGAAGCUGGACACUACCACGUGAAGUGAAAAGUUGGUUCAAUGUACAGAUUGACAGAGUAUCUUUUAAUUGUACAGGCUAAUGCAGCUCAAAUGGUUCUCCAAACCCCACAAUGCCUUCCCAAAGACCUCACCUGCUCUUGUAUCAGCAAGCUUAUGCCAAGAAGGUGGUUAUCUCGGCGAGUCUGUCUGACCACAGAGGAGGAGAAAACCCUGCACAAGGAGUCUGUCUUAAUGUAAGUGCAAAGGAAAGUGGUGAAAUCUGAAAGCCAUUGUGCCUCACUUGCUGUAAAUGUGAAGUGAUGUGAUAAUGCAGGAAGCAAAUAACCAAUUCCAAUCCUAAAUCUCUCGGUGGUACAUGGACCUAUGGGUUUGCUUAACUGCACUGGCUGCUGAAAACAGCCCUUCAGGAAAACAUAUUUUGGCACUAUAAACAAAGUCCAGUUAUUUCAUUUCACUGUGGCAUUCAACAAAAUUACCAAUAAAUAAAACAAUUGGCCAGGCUUUAAGAUCCAUGAGAGUAUCCAGCAGUGUAACAAACCAAACAAGCCAGUUAUGACUGUGUUAUAAAGUGGGUAAUAGACACAGUGGGCCCAAUUUUCCAAACUUUACAAUGAUUUGAAAAACCCUGCAGAGUGCUUGCUUGUUACUUGUUCAUCUUAAUUCCUUCACCUAAGGCUCAUAAUUAUGUUAAAUUGUAUAAUUCAAGAACGGUUGUUUCAUUGUGUAGUGAACUUUGUAGAGAUUUUAAAUUACAGAAAAACAGCACCUUGCUUGCCAAGCUAGACUGUCCCUUGUAGGUGCA
rnacentral:lncRNA from 1 species